UACUUAAUAUAUUGACUUGAUCAAUAAAUGAGCAAGUUUUAUUUUUAUUCAAGAUUGAUGUGUCCUAGAAUCGUCCAUGGAAUUAAUACUUCGAUACAUAUUCUCAAGAUGUUAAAAUUAGAGGUAUGUAUAAUUAAUUUCUAAAUACUCUCGAUCAUAAUAUCAUCAUGAGGACAGUGAUCAAUCGGGAUAGACCGACAUAUGGAUCGCUUCCUUCAGGAUAGAUGGGUCUCUGAUCUAUAGUGUAAAGAUACUGAGUGAUGAGUGCGGAUAGUUGUUAGAGAAUAACUAGUACUAAACGUGACCAUAUGAGAGAUCACUUAGAUUUCUACUCGAUCAUUAGUGAUUGUCUCGAUACUGUAGUUAUGUGAAUGAUCCUUUGAUCAUGAUGGUAUGACUGCUCAUAAUAAGGCUACUGGAGUUUGUUUAACACAUAAAUAUGGUCUCAACGAGUCCUUGUAGUGGAUGUUGGUGACAG
rnacentral:lncRNA from 1 species